GCCUGGACAGCUCAGUUGGUUAAAGCGUUGACCCAACAUGCCAAGAUUGUGGGUUCAAUUCCCAGUCAGGGCA
rnacentral:tRNA from 1 species